UGAGGAAUAUUGCACAAUGGGCGAAAGCCUGAUGCAGCGACGCCGCGUGCGGGAAGAAGGCCUUCGGGUUGUAAACCGCUUUUCUGGGGGACGAGCAAGGACGGUACCUCAGGAAUAAGUCCCGGCUAACUACGUGCCAGCAGCCGCGGUAAUACGUAGGGGGCAAGCGUUAUCCGGAAUCACUGGGCGUAAAGGGCGUCUAGGCGGCAAGGCAAGUCUCGCGUAAAAGCUCCCGGCUCAACUGGGAGAGCGCGCGGGAAACUGCCUGGCUAGAGACUCGGAGAGGGGUGUGGAAUUCCCGGUGGAGUGGUGAAAUGCGUUGAGAUCGGGAGGAACACCAGUAGCGAAGGCGGCACCCUGGCCGAGUUCUGACGCUGAAGCGCGACAGCGUGGGGAGCAAACGGG
rnacentral:rRNA from 1 species